GCUGCAGCUGCUGGAAUAAUGGAGUCUGCUAUAAAAAGCACAUAGCUUGACAGUUCCAGAAUUUUGGCUAGAAAAAAGGCUUCACGAGUUCUCUCAUAUCAUUACUGAAAACAAUUCCUAGGCAAGAGCUGUUUCAAGAAUGAGCAGAUCAAGACCUUCCCAAAUGAAACUAUGCAGACAGACUUGUUCAAAUGCUACUUGCUCCUUAAGGGAGUGGGAAGUUCCUUGUGAUACUCUAACAACCAGUAUGAUAGCCGCUGCCGCAUGUUGAUGGUCAUCUCUGAGCUCAGGCGCCAGAUGAAGAUACAACUGAAAGAAGGAAAGCUGGAUGUACUUAUACUGAUGUAGAAACAGAGGCGGUAUUACUGCUAUCACUUAUCAUAUCCUGCAUGCUACUUUGGAAUCCAUCUUCAAGAACUGGCAGUGUCACCAUAUACAUUGGUACUCCAAGGAACUUUCAACAAGAACCUUUCCCUUUUUCUUUGCUCGCUUGCAAAAAUUCAUCAGCUCUGUCAUUUUGAACAACAAUCAUGAAUUUUUAGUCUCAUGGACCAGAGAAAAAAUGCCAAAAGCAACAAUAUCUUCUCUGCUUACUUUAUCUCAUAUAAAGGUAUUUUAAAAGGUUUCAUUUUCAUGCUACACCAAAAGGAAACAAACAAACAAGAAAACAGCCUGUGGAUAUAUUCCCAAAAAGCUGACAAUUCUCACCCCUCAGUCCUACUUGUUUGUGUGACAAAGUUCAGGAACGUCACUCCCAGCUAUUCAAGUCAUGUACAGACACAGAAGCUUCUCAUCAACAGCUGUCAUUCCCCUCCUCAGAUUUUUAGCAAAGAGAAAGUUGUGAGGCACUGCAUCUGGGCGCUAUGGCAACCCUAGGCAGCCAGCUGCUUCUCCUCAAACAGCAGCUCUCUUGAAUGUAACAGCAACAUAAUCGGCUUCCAAGACAACACCA